rnacentral:misc_RNA from 2 species
ACAAAUUCAAGCUCAGCUUGGUGAUGGGUGUCUGUCCCGCCGUCGCGCGUGGACUCGCCUCAAAUGCAGUUGGCAGUUCCUCCCUCGGCUCUAAACGCAGCAGAAUUGCGUCGAGCGGCCUUGAGGAUGGGCUUUCCAGGAAGCAAACCCCCCACA